GAAACUGUUGGACUUGAGUGCGGUAGAGGGGGAUGGAAUUCCCGGUGUAGCGGUGAAAUGCGUAGAUAUCGGGAAGAACACCAGUGGCGAAGGCGCUCUCCUGGGCCAUCACUGACGCUCAUGGACGAAAGCCAGGGGAGCAAAAGGGAUUAGAUACCCCUGUAGUCCUGGCCGUAAACGAUGAAUACUAGGUGUCGGGGGAAUUGACCCCCUCGGAGUCGUAUCCAACGCGUUAAGUGUCCCCCCUGGGGAGUACGCACGCAAUUGUGAAACUCAAUGAAAUUGAGGG
rnacentral:rRNA from 1 species